rnacentral:rRNA from 1 species
GUUGGGUAGGGGAGCGUUCUGUAAGCCUGUGAAGGUGGCCUGUGAGGGUUGCUGGAGGUAUCAGAAGUGCGAAUGCUGACAUAAGUAACGAUAAAGCGGGUGAAAAGCCCGCUCGCCGGAAGACCAAGGGUUCCUGUCCAACGUUAAUCGGGGCAGGGUGAGUCGACCCCUAAGGCGAGGCCGAAAGGCGUAGUCGAUGGGAAACGGGUUAAUAUUCCCGUACUUGGUGUUACUGCGAAGGGGGGACGGAGAAGGCUAUGUUGGCCGGGCGACGGUUGUCCCGGUUUAAGCGUGUAGGUGUGUGUUCCAGGUAAAUCCGGUUCACUUUAACACUGAGGCGUGACGACGAGGCACUACGGUGCUGAAGCAACAAAUGCCCUGCUUCCAGGAAAAGCCUCUAAGCAUCAGGUAACAUCAAAUCGUACCCCAAACCGACACAGGUGGUCAGGUAGAGAAUACCAAGGCGCUUGAGAGAACUCGGGUGAAGGAACUAGGCAAAAUGGUGCCGUAACUUCGGGAGAAGGCACGCUGACACGUAGGUGAAGUGAUUUACUCAUGGAGCUGAAGUCAGUCGAAGAUACCAGCUGGCUGCAACUGUUUAUUAAAAACACAGCACUGUGCAAACACGAAAGUGGACGUAUACGGUGUGACGCCUGCCCGGUGCCGGAAGGUUAAUUGAUGGGGUCAGCGCAAGCGAAGCUCCUGAUCGAAGCCCCGGUAAACGGCGGCCGUAACUAUAACGGUCCUAAGGUAGCGAAAUUCCUUGUCGGGUAAGUUCCGACCUGCACGAAUGGCGUAAUGAUGGCCAGGCUGUCUCCACCCGAGACUCAGUGAAAUUGAACUCGCUGUGAAGAUGCAGUGUACCCGCGGCAAGACGGAAAGACCCCGUGAACCUUUACUAUAGCUUGACACUGAACAUUGAGCCUUGAUGUGUAG